rnacentral:rRNA from 1 species
UACGUAGGGUGCGAGCGUUGUCCGGAAUUAUUGGGCGUAAAGAGCUUGUAGGCGGUCUGUCGCGUCUGCUGUGAAAAUCCGGGGCUCAACCCCGGACUUGCAGUGAGUACGGGCAGACUAGAGUGUGGUAGGGGAGACUGGAAUUCCUGGUGUAGCGGUGAAAUGCGCAGAUAUCAGGAGGAACACCGAUGGCGAAGGCAGGUCUCUGGGCCACUACUGACGCUGAGAAGCGAAAGCAUGGGGAGCGAACAGG